rnacentral:misc_RNA from 1 species
GUUUCUUUCUUUUCCUUUUUUCUUCCUAAUUAAAUGUCAUCAUUUGAUUUGUAUGUUUGAUUAAAUUUAUUUCUUAAAUAUUUGGCACUUGAUUUUUCAUAUUUUGGAUUACACCUGCACAAGAAAAUCUGCUGUUAUUUUAUAUAUAUAUAUAUAUGAUAGCAUCCAAAGAUUUACAGUCGAAUAUUGAUCAAAAGAACAUAUAAUGGUGAAAGCGGAUUCAUAUAGCCAACCUAACUCAGUUUGGGAUGAAGGCUUAGUUGUUGUUGUUUUGUUGCUAUUUUUUUUUUAAAUUUAUUCAAGGUUGGUUAAAUCUACAAAUCCAAAAUUAUUUGUAUUGUGUGAUUUGGAUUACACUUGUACCAUUGUUUUGGGGAUUAUGGGAUUGAAAACGACAUUUCUGAAUUAUCAAUGGUUUGUGACUUAGUGUACAUGGCCAAAAUGUAGAAAACAUGUUCUAUAAAACACAGUUCAUUUGAAUUGUGUGUUUUUGUCAUCUUAGUAGAAUUACAUUUAUUCUUUAAGUUCAAGGUCCUUUAAUUGUCUACUAUUGUGUUUGGUCUCAUCUGAAUUCCUGAAUCAUUGUUUAAAACUCGAUUCAAAAUUAAUAGGCUAAUAAAUUUUCAGUUGCUAGAUUUGUAGGUUUGCUGCAUCGUAUCUAAUUUUGUUUAAAAUGUGUUGAAGCUUUGGUAGAAUUACAAUUAUGACUUGUAUAGAACGCCAAAGAGAAUUUACUGUAAUUUUGUUUGUGUAUGGAUUGAUUAUAU